ensembl:lncRNA
AUAUGAAUGAAUUCCAUGCUACAUCAGUGAGUUCUUCUCGUCCUCCUAUCUGUGGCAGAGGCAAGAUCAUGUGGUACUUAACACAGACCCAGGACUGCUCCUUCUGGCUUGUGAGUGUUGUUAUCAAACAGAGGAGGAAAAUGGAAGCCCUGGAGGAGGCUGAGUGCCUAGGAAAGAGGGAUCCUGAAAUGGUGGAGAAGUAAAGAAGCUCCAGUCUGACAAAAGGGUUGUGCUGCCGGGCCGAGAUGGAGCUCAGAAAGUACAAACCCUCCUUCACUUGUGGCCUGAUGAAGGAAACAUCCUGUUGCCUGCCUGACCCACGACAAAGUGCACAAGAGAUCGUACCCCAGCCGACUUCCUGUCAGAGAGAGCCAAGCAAACAUGCUCGCUUGCUCUGAGCCUUUAAAAUAUCUCCCCUUAGAUUUCUAAGGAAAUGUGAGGCGAAGAGAUAACAGACAAACCAAGUGUGUUUAAAGAUGCCCUUUUGGGGCCGUUUUGUCAGUUUUUGGAAGGGUUGGUUAUCCAGGAUAAUCUGAAGGCUAGGAAAUAAAGGAGAGUUAGGGUUUGUACUGGAGCCAUCUGAGAGCAAGGCCCUCUUCUAAAA